rnacentral:lncRNA from 10 species
ACACACACACACACACACACACACACACACACAUAUGGCAUUGAGUUCUAGUCAUAUCCUAAAGAAAAACUAUGGUGCGCUAUGUUAUUUAUAGUACUAUACUCUGUGUGAGUGACUCUGUGUGUAUGUGUGUUGGUGGAGGUCAGGGAUGACUUGUUUGUAAUAUACCUUAAGGAAGUCUGUCCGAAUUUGCCCUUCAAAUACUAAAUAAAUUCAUCUCUCACCUCAAA